GAUGAACGCUAGCGGCAGGCUUAAUACAUGCAAGUCGAGGGGCAGCAUGAUUGUAGCAAUACAAUUGAUGGCGACCGGCAAACGGGUGCGGAACACGUACACAACCUCCCAAUAAGUGGGGAAUAGCCCAGAGAAAUUUGGAUUAAUACCCCGUAACAUAACGAUGUGGCAUCACAUUGUUAUUAUAGAUUUUUCGCUUAUUGAUGGGUGUGCGGCUGAUUAGAUAGUUGGCGGGGUAACGGCCCACCAAGUCUACGAUCAGUAGCUGAUGUGAGAGCAUGAUCAGCCACACGGGCACUGAGACACGGGCCCGACUCCUACGGGAGGCAGCAGUAAGGAAUAUUGGACAAUGGACGCAAGUCUGAUCCAGCCAUGCCGCGUGAAGGAUUAAGGUCCCCUGGAUUGUAAACUUCUUUUAUAAGGGACGAAAAAAGGCUUUUCUAAGUCGUCUGACGGUACCUUAUGAAUAAGCACCGGCUAACUCCGUGCCAGCAGCCGCAGUAACAC
rnacentral:rRNA from 1 species